CGUGGGCGACUAAGCACAGGAGAAGAAAAGGCUAAAGGCGGCGACACAAGAGACAUCACAUGCACGUACGCGACUAAGCACAGGAGAAGAAAAGGCUAAAGGCGGCGACACAAGAGAUGUCACAUGCACGUGCGCGACUAAGCACAGGAGAAGAAAAGGCUAAAGGCGGCGACACAAGAGAUGUCACAUGCACGUGCGCGACUAAGCACAAGAGAAGAAAAGGCUAAAGGCGGCGACACAAGAGAUGUCACAUGCACGUACGCGACUAAGCAAGGAGAAGAAAAGGCUAAAGGCGGCGACACAAGAGAUGUCACAUGCACGUGGGCGACUAAGCACAGGAGAAGAAAAGGCUAAAGGCGGCGACACAAGAGAUGUCACAUGCACGUGGGCGACUAAGCACAGGAGAAGAAAAGGCUAAAGGCGGCGACACAAGAGAUGUCACAUGCACGUGCGCGACUAAGCAAGGAGAAGAAAAGGCUAAAGGCGGCGACACAAGAGAUGUCACAUGCACGUGGGCGACUAAGCACAGGAGAAGAAAAGGCUAAAGGCGGCGACACAAGAGAUGUCACAUGCACGUGGGCGACUAAGCACAGGAGAAGAAAAGGCUAAAGGCGGCGACACAAGAGAUGUCACAUGCACGUGCGCGACUAAGCAAGGAGAGGAAAAGGCUAAAGGCGGCGACACAAGAGAUGUCACAUGCACGUGCGCGACUAAGCA